UGCCACAGACAUAUCACCCUGCAGCCCAAGACUGGUUGCCCACUGAAGCUAAGCAGGGUUGAGCCUGGUUAGUACCUGGAUGGGAGACCUCUGGUGAAAACUAGGUUGUUGUUGGAA
rnacentral:rRNA from 1 species